GUCAGUCAGAGCUUCGUGUCUCUCUUCAGCUCCCACACCGCUGAUGACGGUUCAUUUAUGGGAAAAUGACGUUAAAUACAAGGUUGGAACCAACAGGUUGGAAUACCUCCAGCAGGCUGAAGUGUCAAGGCCGUACCCCUACUGUACUGUACAUCCUGACGUUGGGAGAUAAUGACCAGCGCUGCUCUCAAGCAUUCGUCAUUCUGGUGGGACAGGCUCUGGAGCAAUGCACACUACUUGGGGUGGUUGAUGUGUGCUUCAAGGCAUUUUAUAUUUUUGACAUUAACUAUUUAAAGUAGUGUGCACCUGUAUAGAACUUUUUGUAA